CCCUUCCACAAAGGCAUCCCUGACUUCGGAUAUGUGAGAAUUGGAGGCAGAAACAUACGGAGUUGGAGAAAUUUGGGGCUAACUUGUUCUCAGCCGACCCAAGAUCAGCAAUCCGACGUUU
ensembl:snoRNA